CUAGUUGGAGUUAAGAGUAUCAUGGACCUUCCUGGGUGUGCUGACUUUAAACCAUGAUCCUCAGAUUUUAGUCUCCUCUGAUCUUGAGCUUUGUUGGUAGGAUUUGUACCACUUAAGUCAUGACUCCAGCCCUUGUUAAUUUAUGUUGAUUAAUUUUGUGUAUGUACAACUGGGGAUUGAAACCAGGGCUUCACACAUGCUUCAUUGAACUGUAUCUCCAAUUCCUCUGUACCCCUAACUCUUGGCUGGGAUUACAAACUUGUGUCUGGCUGUGUGUGUGUAAUGGUCCUGGGGCUUGA